rnacentral:rRNA from 1 species
UGGGGAAUAUUGGACAAUGGGCGAAAGCCUGAUCCAGCAAUACCGCGUGUGUGAAGAAGGCCUGCGGGUUGUAAAGCACUUUCAGAGGGGAGAAACGACUGUAGGUUAAGAGCUAAUAGUCUUGAUGUUACCCUCAGAAGAAGCACCGGCUAACUCUGUGCCAGCAGCCGCGGUAAGACAGAGGGUGCAAGCGUUAAUCGGAAUAACUGGGCGUAAAGGGUGCGUAGGCGGAUUCUUAAGUCAGAUGUGAAAGCCCCGGGCUCAACCUGGGAAUGGCAUUUGAUACUGAGAGUCUCGAGUAGAGGAGAGGAGAGUGGAAUUUCAGGUGUAGCGGUGAAAUGCGUAGAUAUCUGAAAGAACACCAGUGGCGAAGGCGGCUCUCUGGCCUCAUACUGACGCU